rnacentral:lncRNA from 1 species
AUGGGCAUUUCCACGGUAAUAGGGUACUUCUGUGUGUGAAAGAAUAAAGCGCUUACAGAAAAAUUAAAUAAAUAUCCUGUGGCUUUCUGUGUUUUUAUUUUCAUUGUUGAUGGUAUAAAGAAAUAAAAAAGACAAUUCCAUGCACUAAUAAUGUCAUUUGGUUGUGUUGUCCUCUUUUCUUUAAUGAUUAUUAUUAAAAAUUCCAAAGUACAAUCAGUAAAUGUUGAGUGGUGUGAUUUUGAGGGUGAUGCAAAUAAAAAUUCUAAAAAGAAAUUGAUGUUUCAUGUUUUGAAAAGAGAUUUUGAUGCGGGUGGAUUACGGCAUUGAUCAUAGUUACGGCGAUUGAGCUUUAAAGAGAGAGAGUGAGAGAGUUGAAAAUUACAUUGGCUGAAUGAGAGAUUCUGUCCACCUGUGUUACGUACGUUCAGAGUGAAUUUUCCCACAAUUAUUAGUUGUGUCACCCAACAGUUUUAUGUGCUUUGCAACUCUUUUGAUGAAGGUUGAAAUGUAGACCAAGAAAAAAAUCGUCAAAAUAAACGCAAAUAGAGAUAAAAUCUAUUCAAAAUUUGGAGUGCAAUAUUCGGUCCAACUCACGAACGUACGUAACAACUAAAAAAACGGACCGUGGCGUCCGCGAAUAUGACGCAUGGAUAAUCCACGUAUCAGUCAAGUGAACCAAGGCACUGCAACGUUUGAUUGUACUUGCAAUCCAUGCGCUGACUUCUACAAUCGCGGGGCCGUGUAGCUCUAUAUAACUUCUGUCCAGUUUGUGCGUACGUUCACGGUUGCUGGUAGUUAGAACGACACGUACGCACGAUGGACAGAAAUGCUAUUCGGUCUUAUUUACGUACGUUUUUUCGCGGGGUUCCGUGAGCAGCAGACGACAUCCGAUCGUAAUCAUUGGAGUAUCAACUCAACAUUAGAUUAGAUCUAGGCUUUGAAAAUCGUGGAAUGCUGCCAGAGAAAGGUAGAAGACUUCAUAUCACAGUGUACCAAUACUUGUGCAAGCAAACAUGACAUUAACUGUAAAGCUUCGUUCGCCAACUCGACCCCCAUCACCAACAGCUGAUACAUCAAAAUCUAACGCUGCAGAGAGGAUGAGGAAGAAACGAGCAAAAUUAAAGGAAGAUCCCUCUGCAUAUGCAGCUUUUUGUGCCAAGGAAGCUGCACGCCAACGACAAUAUCGGAAGAAUCUGACUGCUGGAAAAUUGGCACAAAGACACAAUUAUUUACUGAAAAUAUUUAAUGAAUGCUCAAUUGAAUUGAUGCAUUAUAAUAUGCAAAAUAACCCAUUGAGUAUGCAGUGUCAAAUCUUUUUUGAAUUUCAGAUCUGAAUUACAUCAAAAUGAUUGUUAUAAAUACAUGUAUUUGAUUUGAACUUACUUGAAAUGAAUGAUCAUAAUUUUGAGCAAAAAUAGAAUUAAAUAGAGCAUUUAUGAAAAAUGAAGAAAUAUAAAAGGUAAAUAUCAUACACAUUGUAGUUAGCAGAUAAAAGAACUCUAGAAUAAAAGCAUACAAAUCCUGUAUAGACAAUUUGUAAUUAACGACAUGAUGUUUGUGAAAUAUCAAUGAAUAGUGUUUGCCUUUUAUUCUAUAUUGUGUCAACUACUUUCCCAGUCUUGAUGGGAAUUGAUUACAAGCUAAUGCUUACAUGUAGUGAAAUGCAUGCUCAAUUGUUUAACAGUCUGUUAUUAUUGGGCUCUGUGUCCGAGACACAUUUUGGCUACUGACUAUUAAAGACCUAGACUACUUUUAAAUUUGUAUAUAAGGUUUUGUGAAAUUUCAAUUUCAAUGAAAUGAUUAGUGUUUGCCUUUUAUUCUAUAUUGUGCCAACUUCUUUCCAUGUGACUAUAGUUACUAUCUUAUCAUUUUUUAAAUUUGAAUUUGCAAUUCAGGUGUUCAUAAUUGUAUAAAUUUAUAUAAAUGGUUCAUCCAUGGACAAUUUAAGUUGUACACUGAAGUUUGUUGCUUGCUUUUGCAGUUGGUCAAAAGAUUAAUGAGAGGUGAGAUAAGAUUUCAAAACUAUCAAUUAAUCUAUUUUACAGAUUUACAAACCGUAUAUCAGUUGGCAAAUUCAUUGAUUUCAUUAUACUUAAUAAUUAAAGACCAUUCACAUUUCACUUAUUCUCCACAAUUUAAAAUGAUCAAUACAAUGAAACAUUUUAACCUAUGCAACGCUUAUGAAUAUAUUGAUUAUGAAAUAUGUGUCCCAAAACAGAAUUCAAACAAACGUUUAGAUGCCUGUUCUGUCCAACCGUUACAUACGUUCCCUAUUCUUAUUAAUUGGUUCCAACAUGCAUCAACAAUUAUAACUUCUAGAUUUUAUUUUAUCCUGGAAUAUAUGAACAUAGCAUCAACAUCCAGUACACAGUGACACCAAAUUAAUAGAGUACGCACCAUUAAAACAUGUGUGAAAGAUUUAUUCAUUCAAUAAUACAUGAUACAUUGCAAACAUUCCUUAAAUAUUUGUUUUUCUGAUUCACAAAAAAA